UGCGUAGGCGGACUUGUGCGUCAGGGGUUAAAUGUAACGGCUUAACCGUUAACCUGCCCUUGAUACGGCAAGUCUUGAGUACGGGAGAGGAUGGUGGAAUUCCUGGUGUAGCGGUGAAAUGCGUAGAUAUCGGGAGGAACACCCGUGGCGAAGGCGGCCAUCCGGCCCGCAACUGACGCUGAGGCACGAAAGCGUGGGGAUCAAACAGGAUUAGAUACCCUGGUAGUCCACGCCCUAAACGAUGUAUGCUUGGUGUUGGGAGUUAUGCUUCCAGUGCCGAAGGUAACCCGUUAAGCAUACCGCCUGGGGAGUACGAUCGCAAGGUUGAA
rnacentral:rRNA from 1 species